UUCCAACGCUCGUUGACUCCCUCCCUUCCUUUCUCCGCCGCUCCGGGAAAGCAGCCCGGCAGCUCCGGGGCAGAGAGCAGGGAGGCGGCGGCGGCGGCGGCUCCGGGCGCGGGCUCCGCUCUGAGGGUUCGGGGAUGCCAAUGCGCCCGCGAGGCUGACGUCGGGGGCGUGGGGCUGUGAUGCUCGAGCGAGGAUGGCGCGGUGUCAGAGCCAUUGGCCGCCGGUGGUCAUCAAUCAAUCCGGGGCUGGGGGAAAGAGAGAGAGAAAGAAAGACAGGCGCCCAGCGGAGCCCGGGGCCGCGAGCGCCAGCUCCAGCAGUGCCAGCAGCGGCGGCAGCAGCGGAGGCGACGGUGGUGGCAACGGGGGACUGAGCGAAAACGCACAGUGGUAUUGAUGAGUAGAUCCUUGGGUUCAGAGGUUGGCUGAAACACACCAUGCCUGCUUCCAUCCUUUGCUCCGGAAAGUUGUGAAUUGCUCAUGCCUAUAGGGAGGAAGGAUGGCUCAUGGGAUUCCUUCUCAAGGCAAAGUUACCAUAACGGUGGAUGAGUACAGCUCAAACCCCACGCAGGCAUUCACACACUACAACAUCAACCAGAGCAGAUUCCAGCCACCGCAUGUACAUAUGGUCGACCCCAUCCCAUAUGACACUCCAAAACCAGCGGGCCACACGCGGUUUGUCUGCAUCUCAGACACGCACUCAAGAACAGAUGGUAUCCAGAUGCCUUAUGGGGACAUCCUUCUCCACACAGGCGAUUUCACCGAGCUGGGACUGCCCUCAGAGGUUAAGAAGUUUAAUGACUGGUUAGGAAACCUGCCAUAUGAAUAUAAAAUAGUGAUUGCUGGGAAUCAUGAACUGACAUUUGAUAAGGAAUUCAUGGCAGACCUUGUUAAACAGGACUACUACCGUUUCCCCUCUGUGUCCAAAUUGAAACCAGAGGACUUUGACAACGUUCAGUCCCUCCUGACAAACAGUAUUUACUUACAAGACUCGGAGGUAACAGUGAAGGGAUUCAGGAUAUACGGAGCACCUUGGACCCCGUGGUUUAAUGGAUGGGGCUUUAACCUGCCCAGAGGUCAGUCUCUGCUGGACAAGUGGAACCUCAUCCCUGAGGGCAUCGACAUACUCAUGACACACGGACCUCCUCUAGGUUUUCGAGACUGGGUUCCAAAGGAGCUUCAAAGAGUGGGCUGUGUGGAGCUUUUAAACACAGUCCAGAGGCGAGUCCGGCCCAAGCUCCAUGUAUUUGGUGGAAUCCAUGAAGGUUACGGCAUUAUGACCGACGGUUAUACAACGUACAUCAAUGCCUCAACGUGUACAGUCAGCUUUCAACCGACCAACCCUCCAAUUAUAUUUGACCUUCCAAACCCACAGGGUUCCUGAAGCUCUAAAAGCCCCCAUUGGAAUGUGAGGGAAGGUCUAUAAACUGCCAUUUUUCUAAUUAUAAACUUACAUUCUCUUACUUGUUUUUUUUCCAAAUCCCGGGAGUUCUUUUUGUAAAUUACUGGAACACAAAUGACGCUAGACGUUGUGCUGCUUCUUCUUUUUUUAAAUGGGGCGUCCAUUCUAAAUGAAAGGAGCAUUGUGAAUUUGUGAAAUGACUUCCCUUUUCUCAGAGGCCACGCCAUCGUAAAUUGUUAGUAUUCGCCAAAGGACAGCCAAGCUUUCUUUUUAAAAGGUGAUGAAAGUCUUAUUUUAAUAUGCUUUAAGCUGGAAGAAAAAGGAAGGAAAAAGAGAGAGAAACAGGUUUCAGAGGGUGACUAUUUCGUCUUGGCCAUUGUAAUUUCUAUAGGAAGGGUCACCGCGCAGUGGAGGCCGGAGAUGCUAUUGUGGUUGUGUCCGUGGUGGUGAGAGGGUGAACUGGUGGGUAAGAGAGUAACCACUACUCUGUCUCAUUUGUCUCCAGGAGCAGUUACUGUCAUCCCAUCGCUGUUCUUUAUUUAUGUCCAUCACUAAAAUGUUAUGGCAGCCAGGAGUCAACAGGCGGCAGUGGGGUGUGGUAAACUAAGUAAUGUCUUUUUUAUUUUCUCUGGAACAGCCACUGAAGAAAAGCAGCACAAUCUUGAAUCUGCAGUGUAGCCCAAAAGUCUGCAUUCCAGUGCCCAUUGGAUUAUAGUCUGAUAGAUCUUCCUUUCCUCCUUCUGUUGUAGACUCGUUGGUGUAAUUGAUGAAAAGAAUCCUUGAUUUCAGUACCAGCUGAGUAGAGAGGAUGUUUUAGGCCAUAAUUCCAGCUCAGACUCACGUGUAACCAUCUUAGCUGUUAAUAUUGAUGAAGUGUGUUGGCUGCCACCCAGAGUGUGGUGGACACUUCGGUCUGAGCUCACAGAGUAGAUGCUUGACCUUCCCAAGCAGAGGUGGUCCGUGACCAUAGUAGCCAUGAUGCGCCAAUAGAGGUGCCGUGAGAAGUUAACAACCCUCCUCUGAUCUGCCACAUCAGUAGAACAAGGUGUUGACUUCAGGGCUCUUCCUAGGGAGCUGGAGUGAGAGGUGACUGAUGGAAAUUUCAUCUGGAGCUAAGCUCAGACUUCUGGAAAAGCAGGCUUUCCAGAGACAGGUGGAUGGGUGGAUGGUCAUGAUGACAAGUGUGCAUGUACAGCUCUUGACAGCACGUCUGGACACAAACUAAUUAAGCUAAGCACUUACUAAAAUUGCUUUCCAUUGUGGGGGGACCGGAAGCACCCCAGCCUGCUAAAUCUACAGGGUAGACUGGCUUAUGGUCCAGGUUCACCAUCCAUGUGUCUGAAUAGCCUCCAGGAGGGCCAGGAUGACUGUCCAAAGGCCUGAAGCUUUCUCCACUGGGCCUUCUAACAAAGCAACAUUUGAAAUAGCUCUUACAAAUUGGCACUUUCCGUCCUUUCAUCACCAGGCACUCUGCUGAGCAGGUCUCAUAUUUUGCUUCUAAUCCUCACAAAACCCUCAGAGAGGUCACAUAAGCCCCACUUUAUAGAUAGGAAACUAAGGCUCCAAAAGUUAAAUAAAUUUCCCUAGGAAAAUGCAAGGUUCAAAACCAGAUCUGUCUGAAUUCAUAGCCCCUGCCCUUUUUAUCACCUGGCCUCUGGACUAGAAAAGUUGAUGCUCUUCAAGAGCUGAUAAAAAACUGAUAUGGGCCUGGGGGCAUGUCUUAUCACUUUAUGGGGAUGCUGUCAGAGCAUCCUUCAGAUUGGACCACUUCCUCUCUGCUUGAGACACAGCACCAUAGCGGUAUGAGCACAGAGCCUGGCGCCCGUGUGCCUGCCCACGUCCCAACUCCUCCUCGGACUGGCUCUGAUGCCUUUGGCUGGGUACUUAGCAUCGCUAUAAAAGGGGGUUGAUGAUGAUGCAGUGGCUGUAAGUUGUGAUAGGGAGAUCACUGCCUGGCAUCCAGUUUGUUGAAUAAGGUCCCCCAGGCUGCCUUGAAAUUCUCCGGGCAGGACCUGUCUGUUUCCUCCACCCUCAAGAGCACCAGUGGCAUUAUUUCUGAGAAAGCAUAUUGGUUUGCAUUCCUUGGAAACUAUAAGGAACCUCUUUCAUAAGAAUAUGAAGAACCCCCAAGGACAUUUGUGAGAGGCACAUAAGGGGGCCUGACUUUUCAGUGUGGGUAUCAUGUUUUGCAAAUCCCUUCUAAUCUCAGGAGAGGAAGGGGUCUGUACUCCUCAGAGUUGCUUUAAAUGGCGCCUGUGGAUCGCAGUAUCUCUCACUCCUUGGAGUCUUUACAUUCCAUGUCACCAUCUCCUUCAAGCUCAAUUAGUGCGUUUUUUCUCUACAUUUUCUCCCAAUCCCCUUUUGUCUUAUAAAGAUGUUGGGGGGUUGCUGAAAUCCCCUUAAGAGGCAAGUCACUGUUAUUCUGACAGGUGGCCAGCGUUAAGCCUGCCUUCAUCUCCAUCACUUAAGUAAAUAAAUACUGUGACCCAGGUCUUAAGUAGGGAGAAACAGAAGCUGGGAGGAUUUGGGAUUUGUCAAUUGCAGAUAAAAUACUUGUGCCCAGAAUAAUGUCCCCUCCCCCACCCCUUACCCAGCAAGGCUAUGCUGCUCCGUCAGACUGAAUAUCUAUCUUUCAUUUUGGUUUCUCAUUAUCUUUUCAUGCCCUGUCCCCACUUUCCCAAAAGUUUUAAGUACUUUUUGUUUAAUUAUGAAACCAAACUGAAUUAAAGUCUACUUUGCUCUGAGAAUUUGGCUAUAAGCUGAGGCAUUUGGAAACACUGCUGGGUAUGGGGCAGGAGGCAUUUGGAUGCUGGCAGGGUCCCAGGACUGGACAUUCUUAAUAAGUGGUUUUAUAGAAGGUUCCAGGCCGUCUUCUGGAUGUCAGCUUCUAAAUGCAAAAUAUUUUUUCUCCUACUUUGUGAUGAAGUAGCAAGAUUGCUACUUGUAUGUCCACUUUCUGACCAGGUUCUUCCUGAAGUUUAGAGCUACUUUCCCUUCCUUUUCAAGAUGUCGUCUCUACCUUUCUGCUCCUAUCCUGCCUUUCCAUGGGAGAGAUAACCACAUUGAUUCAAAAGCCUCUCUGAGAAGACUACCUCUUCCCUGGUGCCCAUCAUCGUAAAGUCAGCCUCUGCAACUCGAGAAGUUCAGAGAGGGCCAGUGGCGCCACCAUGGUCACGCAGUAAAUCAGAAGAGAUAGCCCCGCACUGGCAUUUUGGCUCUUAACUUUGAGCAUGAACUGCUUUUCCGAUUUGACAUUCAGCAAUAAUCAAGGAUGGAGAGAUCAGUUUGGCCAGGCAUAAUGUGAUUAUGUAGCAGAAAACAACCUGCCUAUCUGUGGAGUAUUAUUAUUAAACCCGAUUAUUUGAAAGAAACCUUAGUAUCUGACCUCCAAGUGCUCCCAUGAGGAUUCACUUUCUUUCCUUUCAACCAGUCCACCUAUAAAAACUGAUGGGCCUCCCGUUCCUCCUCCCACAAGAGAGAUGUUGCUCUUUGUCACGUGUUUUGACCUACAUGUGUAUGUAUGUCCAGCCUGGAAGACACUGGGUGUCAGGAAGAGCCCCUGAUUUUGGAUUCAGAUGUGCUUGCUUUCAAAUCCCAGCAAUGCUGUUUACCAUCUGGUGGCCUUGGAUGUGCAACUUUACUUCUCUGAGGCUCAGGCUCCACACCUGCAUGAUGGGGGUAAUUCCUACCCCACGAUGGAUUUAUCAAAGUUGAUAAGAUAAUAUCACCAGGGUCGUAGGCCCAGGGAGCUAUCAUUAUACAUGGAAGAUCUUAUUAUGCUGUCCAUCACAAUUUCUUAAAAGAAAAAGGGGUUGGGGGAGGAGGGUAUAAAAGGAAACAUUUAGCUCAUUUUUCCAAGUUAUUCAGAGCCUUCACAAGAGAAAGUGAAUUCCUUGAACUGGACUGAGUCAAGGUAAUGGAACUACAAACCCACGCCAUCCAUAAAUUGAGCUCUUUAAAUUCCUCUCUCUCUCUCUCUUUAAACUACAAGACAAAACACUUGGUGGUAGGUUCUUCUCAACUCCUCAUUUCCUUCCUGAAUUAGGGUUGUCUUACAAGACAAAAAUCUUGAGGUAAAAGGCCUUUCAUAUCUGAGAGCAUCUAUAUAUGGGUAAUGGUGAGAGAGAGAAAUGCAUUUCCAUUAGGAAGCAUGGCCACAGUGGUACUAAAAGCACGAAUAGACUAAACACAGAGAGGCAGCGAGCCCGCACCCAUCAAUCAGCACUGAUUUUUAUGAAGCCACGGUUACCGUGAGGUGCAUCCGAGUGCUCUCAAAGCCCGCUUACCAAGGGAAGGGGUCUGUAAUUUCAUAGCCCAUUUCUGCCCUGACCUUAGUGGAUGACCUUGAGAAUAGGUUGAAAUUUUCAAUAGAAGCUUCUAAAAUAGCAAAUGACUUGGAACCCAAAUGCUCCAUGCUUGGGCUCACCAACAUGCCCUAGCACACAUUGGCUAUAAGGCUCAGGUACCAACUACUUAAUGCUCCGAAGGGACUCCUAUUUCCAGGAAGCCUUCCCUGAAUCCCCCUACUCAUAACCAGAACACCUCCUCUUGGUACUGCCGUGUCCCCCACAAGCACUGCCACCUGCUCCGUGUUCUGACUGUUGCUGGUCUGCCUGUGAGCUCCCUGAGGUCAGCGACCAGGUCUCUGCUUCUGCAUUCCCAGCAUCUGGGUCUGAAGAAGUGUUGUUUUAAUGAAUGAAUCUGUGUUGGGCAGACAAUAGUCAGGUGUGUGAGAAAGGUAGGAGAAAUUCAUCACAGAUGAAAUCAACAGACAUUUCCUGCACACUGCAGACACAGUGCUGGACCAGUAAGCUUUGUUUGCAAGACUCAGUUCUUGUCACGAAAAGUCCUUAUAAUUUGGUGAAGGAAACAAGACAUUGACACAUGAAGGUAAAUAGCAGUAAGAUUCAAAUGAUAGUUCAAAACAGCAAUAAAAGAAAAUCAGGGUCUGUGAUAGGUUUGUCCAUUUAUGUGAGUGGCCAUCGUUAUGGGGAAGUGCAGGCUGGGGAUUUAAGUCUCAGACAGGCACUGGCAGCUAACCUAGGAAGGGGAGUCUGAGUGAUAAUGAUAAUGUCAAUCCCAUGCAGCUUCAUUCCUGGAGGAGAAAAACCGGUCUGGCCAGUGGCAAUUCUAAGUGUGUCACGUAGCUGGUUUGUUUUCUUAAUUUACUCUAUGAAAUGGUUUUCUCUAAUGGCAUGCCAUUGACGAAAUGCACCAUAAUGUCUCCAUCCAUCACCUCCAAAUGCUUUUGCAUGCAUCAGUUGUUGACUUGUUUUCUCCCGUUCAGCACAUAAAUGAGAGGAAUGAUUUAUCCAAGGCCACCAGUUACUCUUAUGUGGAAUCUGAAAUAGCUCUCUGGAGAAAUACUGCCCUGAGCACAUGUUUCUUUAUGCUGUUCUCCACUUGUAUCAGAGGGUGACUUUGGCCUGGGCUGCACAGAUAUCCUUCUGACCAGGGUUUUCUGGGUUACUGAUCCAGGUGUCCAUUGUGGUCUGUGAGUCUCAGAUAUUAAGAGCUUGGGUUCCUGUGGGUAUGACCACUAGGAUUGCAUUAUGGGGUAUGGAAACCAGAGCUGUGGCCUUUGAAGCUGUGUGUGGGCAUUUGGACAAGCAGUGAUUCUCCCAUGAGCUCUCUUGAACUCACACUUACCAGGAAGAGAAAAGGUAUUACAUGCAUGAGUACAGUUCCCUUCCUUCUUUCAAUUUGUCCCACUUCCUUGAACUCCCCAUGCUGGAGACAUCUGGCCACUACCCCCUCAGUUUUGCAUAGAUUGGUAGAUCAGAAAUGCAAGAUAGAAGCAUCAAGAUAAUUCUUAACUGCUGAAGUUUCCUUGAGAGAAGGCAGAGUGUAGCAUUCUCUAAGUAAGAUCUGGUACUGACUCAAACACCAGAAGGGGCCACUCCACAAAGUUUUUGUCUCAUUAGAUGAUGGUGACGGUGUAGAUAAACAGUUUGAAGCAUCAGAUAAUACAGAGAUCGUGAAAUGUUAAACACAGUGCUCCUCUAUCUGUAGCAUUCAUAAAUGGUGGUGAGAUUUGAAAUACCGUGUUUAUAUUCUUAAUUUUUUUCAUAAUAAUAUUUUUAUUAUAUUAUAUUACUCACCAUACAGUACAUCCCUGGUUUCUGAUGUAAAGUUCGAUGAUUCGUUAGUUGCGUGUAACA